rnacentral:RNase_P_RNA from 1 species
CGAGUUGGCCGGGCGGCCGCGGGACCGAGAGGUUUCGAGGAAAGUCCGGACUUCACAGAGCAGGGUGAUUGCUAACGGCAAUCCGAGGUGACUCGCGGGACAGUGCCACAGAAAACAGACCGCCGACUUGAGUGUCAGGGCGAAGCCCUGGGAGUCAGACGGUAAGGGUGAAACGGUGCGGUAAGAGCGCACCAGCAUUCCGGGUGACCGGAGUGGCUAGGUAAACCCCACCCGAAGCAAGGCCAAGAAGGCCGCAACCUGGUUGCGGUUGCGCAGGUGCCCGAGGGCUGCUCGCCCGAGCCUGCGGGUAGGCCGCUUGAGGCACCCGGCGACGGUGUGCCCAGAUGGAUGGUCGCCGCCCCGCCACCAGCGAUGGUGGCGGGGAACAGAAUCCGGCUUACAGGCCAGCUCGUCCG